GCAGGAUGAAGCGAAAGUAAAAUUUCGUGGAGGUCCGAACCCACGGGCGUUGAAAAGCUCGGGGAUGACUUGUGGGUAGCGGUGAAAUUCCAAUCGGGCCCGGAGAUAGCUGGUUCUCCCCGAAAUAGCUUUAGGGCUAGCCUCAAGGUGAGAGAUACGGAGGUAGAGCACUGAAUGUCCUAGGGGGUAUUGCACCUACCGAAGACUAUCAAACUCCGAAUGCC
rnacentral:rRNA from 1 species